AUGAGAAAAAAAGUUUGGGGGAAAGUUGAGCUGAGCAGGGAUGACGAAAAGGGCUCUGCUGAGAAGGAGAGACGCAGUGACUUUUACCAUUCUCAUCCUCCGGAAUGCAUCCGCUCCUCUAACUUCUCUGUGCGCAAAAUCAACACCGCAGCCAGAUGCGCACUGAUUUUGCUUCCAAACGUUUAUUCAGCUGUACCUGCAAGAAGUAAGAGUGAAGCAGUCGGGUUCUCCUCUGGAGACAAGGUAAAGAAACGUUUGCACUUUACAAAGUAACUGAUUUUGUUGACUUUAUCUUUGCUAUAAUAAUCUCAUACUUUUUUUUCAGCUUUGACUCCAGGCUGCAGAGAUCCGACUGGACUGGGAAACUAAUUAAGUGUUUUCUACACCGAGCGCUGGAUUUGCGCGUUUUGAGAGUUGAUAUGUCGGACAGUAAGCGUGGAGGACGGCUGCUGCAGUUGGCCGUGGCUCUAUUGGCCUUGCUGCAGCUCUUUGCAGGACUUGGCGAUGCUGCAGAGGUGCUGGAGGUCCAGGACAGCGAGCUGGUGACCAGGCAGACCGAUAGAGCCAACAGGGCAAAGAGGAGGGGAGGAACGGACGUACUCAGAGGGUAAAGCUGCAUUAACUAUCCAUUUCCGUUCUCUCUCUCUUUUGCAUUCUUUUAUAUUUUUAAGAAAUAUUUUCAUGUACGGGUUUUAUGAACUUCAAGCAGGUGUUUGCUUCUCACUAGUUGGUUAUUUAGGAGCUCUGAAGGUAAAAUGAAUAAAUAAAAAAAAAAUCAUGUGUGUUAAUAAGGCGUACUGAGACCAGUUAGUGACAUAGUGUGUGAUGGAAGUUUGGAGCAAAGUUUAGUAAUUAAAUACUGGCAAGAAAACCGCAUUCCUGCUGACUGCAAUAAUAAACUACAUCCAAACAAAGAAGGCCAUUGGUCUUGCGUGGCUGUGGCAGAGGGGGAGAGAAAGAGACUAACAGCAUAAUCCCCUUUUUUAGCCAAAUAUACCACACCCCAGUUGUGGAUAAAUCACAUCUGCAGCUGUUCACAGUGGGUCACUGCUGGAAAGUGUGUGUGUGUGUGUGUGUGUGUGUGUGUGUGUGUGUGUGUGUGUGUGUGUGUGUGUGUGUGCGUGUGUGUGUGUGUGUGUGAGAGANNNNNNNNNNNNNNNNNNNNNNNNNNNNNNNNNNNNNNNNNNNNNNNNNNNNNNNNNNNNNNNNNNNNNNNNNNUGUGUGUGUGUGUGUGUGUGUGUGUGUGUGUGUGUGUGUGUGUGUGUGUGUGUGUGUGUGUGUGUGUGUGUGUGAGUGAGUGAAAGGAAAGACAGAUGGAAGGGACGCAAUAAAGUAAAGAAGGAAUGCCUGUGUCCAGUGAUGACAGCAAACAGCUGAUGAAGGUCACAUAGUCGACAGCUCAAUGAACAUUCUCCACAGGCAUUUUUAUUUGACAUGAUUAAUGUUAAUCUUUUGCAACAUCUGGGUUCAGUGGCAGGAAGUCAUGCUGACUUACCACUGUUUCAAACGCCCAAGUGGCUUCAUUAUUCACCUUGUGGAUCUGUUCUGAGUUACUGUGUGUGUGUGUGUGUGUGUGUGUGUGUGUGUGUGUGUGUGUGUGUGUGUGUGUGUGUGUGUGUGUGUGUGUGUGUGCCCAACUGUGGAUUGGCUCAGCAGGUGAUCACAAGUUCACAGAUGUAGACUUUUGUCAGACCUGUAGGUGGCAGGAUGGCCCAGGUGUUUCCACUUUAAAGAGAAAUAUUCUUUUAAACUGAUUGACUCAAACCAAGAUGAAUGGGAAAUAAAUUCCAGGAUCCUAGUCUAACCAGAAGUAGGCUCUUUCGGUUUUGUCAUUAGUUCAUCUUGAACCCAAAAGUCACAAAACUGUGUUUCAUCAGGAGCUCAGACGGAUCAGGGCUUCACCCCAGCUGAACUGCUUGUGAGCACAAAGACAAAAUGCCUUCAGAGUAACAGACGUGAGUUGAAGUACUGGUCUGUUGAAGCGACCAGUACAUGAUUGCGUUGGUUUAUUUUUCAAAUAGCAAGGGGUACUAACCAUGAAGUAGUGUGCGGUUUGGAGAGUGCUGGACAAUUAUUAUUAAUAUGUAAAUGUUCAUCUGUCAUUACAGUGUAUUGGCAGGUGUUGAAAUGCAAAUUUUUAUUCAAUCAAUAAAAGUAGAAAGCCGUACGUGUUUUGUCUUGGUAGUUAGACAACCAUUAGGAUGUUUACUGGAAGGAUGAUUCCACAUCGCAGCACAAAGAAUAAUGUUGGCCAUACUUUUUGUGGCUGGUUCGUUUUUCAGGGGUUCUGGAGAGGAGGGUCCGUCGGAUUGUCGAACCUUGAAUUUAGGAGGAUCAAUGGUUUUUGUCCUGGCAACGUGGACCAUACUCUUAGGAGGGUCCUGAAGGGUGUAUGGAAGUUCGCCCAACCAGUCUACAGGUGCUGGCCAGUAAAUUAGAAUAUCAUCAAAAGGUUGAAAAUAUUUCAGUAAUUCCAUUCAAAACGUGAAACUUGUACAUUAUAUUCAUGCAAUGCACACAGACCAAUGUAUUUCCGAUGUUUAUUACGUUUAAUUUUGAUAUUUAUAGGUGACAACUAAUGAAAACUCCAAAUUUGGUAUCUCAAAAAAUUAGAAUAUUCUAAAGGCCAAUGAAAAAAUGUUUGUUUCUCUA
ensembl:lncRNA